CUGGCUACAGCAACACAUAGACUAAAAUUGGACCAUACAGAGAAGGUUCACGUGGCCCCUGUGUAAGGAUGAUAUGCAAAUUCAUGAAGCUUUCCAUAUUUAG